AAAAGGGUUAAUUUGCUUGAAUUCAAGCCCAAGUCCUUCCAGCACCAAAAUUCAAGGCCUUUCAUCAAAGAAACCUGAAAACCUGACUGACUGAAACUAUGAAUAAACAACCACAGGAGAAAGACAGCUUCCCUGAGUCGCACACAGCGCCCAAGAUGGUGGUUCUAAGAACAUUUGGCACUUGGAAAAAUUGUGCCCUGCUAAAAGUAUCAGGAUUUGUUUCUAAGGAGGAGGAGAA